rnacentral:rRNA from 1 species
UACGUAGGUCCCGAGCGUUGUCCGGAUUUAUUGGGCGUAAAGCGAGCGCAGGUGGUUUAUUAAGUCUGGUGUAAAAGGCAGUGGCUCAACCAUUGUAUGCAUUGGAAACUGGUAGACUUGAGUGCAGGAGAGGAGAGUGGAAUUCCAUGUGUAGCGGUGAAAUGCGUAGAUAUAUGGAGGAACACCGGUGGCGAAAGCGGCUCUCUGGCCUGUAACUGACACUGAGGCUCGAAAGCGAGGGGAGCAAACAGG